rnacentral:rRNA from 1 species
AACGAACGCUGGCGGCAUGCCUAACACAUGCAAGUCGAACGAGACCUUCGGGUCUAGUGGCGCACGGGUGCGUAACGCGUGGGAACCUGCCCUUAGGUUCGGAAUAACUCCCCGAAAGGGGUGCUAAUACCGGAUAAUGUCUUCGGACCAAAGAUUUAUCGCCUUUGGAUGGGCCCGCGUUGGAUUAGCUAGUUGGUAGGGUAAAAGCCUACCAAGGCGACGAUCCAUAGCUGGUCUGAGAGGAUGAUCAGCCACACUGGGACUGAGACACGGCCCAGACCCCUCGGGGAGGCGGCAGGGGGGAAAUUUGGACAGGGGGCGAAAGCCUGAUCCAGCAAGGCCGGGUGAGUGAUGAAGGCUUUGGGGUUGUAAAGCUCUUUUACCCGGGAUGAUAAGGCCAGUACCGGGAGAAAAGACCCCGGCAAACUCCUU